rnacentral:rRNA from 1 species
AUGAAGGGGGACCCUCAUACCGUCAUGGCCUUCGCGGCCGGCAGCGGGAGGGGGUCGCAGAAACCAGUGAGAAGCGACUGUUUACUAAAAACACAGGUCCGUGCGAAGUCGCAAGACGAUGUAUACGGACUGACGCCUGCCCGGUGCUGGAAGGUUAAGAGGACCGGUUAACCCUUCGGGGUGAAGCUGAGAAUUUAAGCCCCAGUAAACGGCGGUGGUAACUAUAACCAUCCUAAGGUAGCGAAAUUCCUUGUCGGGUAAGUUCCGACCUGCACGAAUGGCGUAACGACUUCUCAACUGUCUCAACCAUAGACUCGGCGAAAUUGCAUUACGAGUAAAGAUGCUCGUUACGCGCGGCAGGACGAAAAGACCCCGGGACCUUCACUAUAGCUUGGUAUUGAUGUUCGAUGCGGUUUGUGUAGGAUAGGUGGGAGACUGCGAAGCUCGCACGCAAGUGUGGGUGGAGUCGUUGUUGAAAUACCACUCUGAUCGUAUUGGACCUCUAACUUCGAACCAUGAAGCUGGUUCAGGGACAGUGCCUGGUGGGUAGUUUAACUGGGGCGGUUGCCUCCUAAAAUGUAACGGAGGCGCCCAAAGGUUCCCUCAACCUGGACGGCAAUCAGGUGUUGAGUGUAAGUGCACAAGGGAGCUUGACUGCGAGACUGACAAGUCGAGCAGGGACGAAAGUCGGGACUAGUGAUCCGGCACCUCUGAGUGGAAGGGGUGUCGCUCAACGGAUAAAAGGUACCCCGGGGAUAACAGGCUGAUCUUCCCCAAGAGUCCAUAUCGACGGGAUGGUUUGGCACCUCGAUGUCGGCUCGUCGCAUCCUGGGGCUGGAGCAGGUCCCAAGGGUUGGGCUGUUCGCCCAUUAAAGCGGCACGCGAGCUGGGUUUAGAACGUCGUGAGACAGUUCGGUCUCUAUCCGCCGCGCGCGUCAGAAUCUUGAGGAGACCUGUCCCUAGUACGAGAGGACCGGGACGGACGAACCUCUGGUAUACCAGUUGUCCCACCAGGGGCACGGCUGGAUGGCUACGUUCGGACAGGAUAACCGCUGAAAGCAUCUAAGCGGGAAACCUACUCCAAGACCAGGAUUCUCACCCUUUUAGAGGGAUAAGGCCCCCCGCAGACCACGGGAUUGAUAGACCAGACCUGUACGCGCAGUAAUGUGUUUAGGGAACUGGCACUAACCGGCCGAAAACUUGCC